rnacentral:rRNA from 1 species
CCUACGGGGGGCAGCAGUGGGGGAUAUUGCACAAUGGGGGAAACCCUGAUGCAGCGACGCCGCGCGGGUGAAGAAGCGCCUCGGCGCGUAAAGCCCUGUCAGCAGGGAAGAAAAUGACGGUACCUGAAGAAGAAGCCCCGGCUAACUACGUGCCAGCAGCCGCGGUAAUACGUAGGGGGCAAGCGUUAUUCGGAUUUACUGGGUGUAAAGGGGGCGCAGACGGGGAUGCAAGCCAGGAGUGGAAGCCCGGGGCCCAACCCCGGGACUGCUCUUGGAACUGCGUGGCUAGAGUGCAGGAGGGGCAGGCGGAAUUCCUGGUGUAGCGGUGAAAUGCGUAGAUAUCAGGAGGAACACCGGUGGCGAAGGCGGCCUGCUGGACUGCAACUGACGUUGAGGCCCGAAAGCGUGGGGAGCAAACAGGAUUAGAUACCCCUGUAGUC